rnacentral:rRNA from 1 species
GAUGAACGCUGGCGGCGGGCCUAAUACAUGCAAGUCGAGCGAACAGAGAAGGAGCUUGCUCCGUUGACGUGAGGGGCGGACGGGUGAGGAACACGUGGGUAACCUACCUAUAAGACUGGAAUAACGCCGGGAAACCGGGGAUAAUGCCGGAUAACAGGUAGAACCGCAGGGUUCUAAAGAGAAAGAGGGUUUUGCUAUGACUAAUAGAGGGACCCGCGCCGUAUUAGCUAGUUGGAAAGGUAACGGCUUACCAAGGCAACGAUCCGUAGCCGACCUGAGAGGGUGAUCGGCCACACUGGAACUGAGACACGGUCCAGACUCCUACGGGAGGCAGCAGUAGGGAAUCUUCGGCAAUGGGCGAAAGCCUGACGGAGCCACGCCGCGUGAGUGAUGAAGGUCUUCGGAUCGUAAAACUCUUUUAUUAGGGAAGAACAACUGUGUAAUUAUCUCUUCCCGUCUUGACGGUACCUACUCAGAAAGCCCCGGCUAACUACGUG